CCUACGGGUGGCAGCAGUGAGGAAUAUUGGUCAAUGGGCGGGAGCCUGAACCAGCCAAGUCGCGUGAGGGAUGACUGCCCUAUGGGUUGUAAACCUCUUUUAUCUGGGAACAAAACGCCGCACGUGUGCGGUUUGGUGAGUACCCGGUGAAAAAGCAUCGGCUAACUCCGUGCCAGCAGCCGCGGUAAUACGGAGGAUGCGAGCGUUAUCCGGAUUUAUUGGGUUUAAAGGGUGCGUAGACGGACUCUUAAGUCAGCGGUAAAAUUUCGGGGCUAAACCUAAUAGAGCAGUUGAAACUGGGUGCCUUGAGUAGGCGAGAAGUACGCGGAAUGCGUGGUGUAGCGGUGAAAUGCAUAGAUAUCACGAAGAACUCCGAUUGCGAAGGCAGCGUACCGGAGCGCAACUGACGCUGAAGCACGAAGGCGUGGGUAUCGAACAGGAUUAGAUACCCUGGUAGUC
rnacentral:rRNA from 1 species